CUAGGGCGCCGGAUCCGCCGGCGAGGAGAAUGUGGUCACCGGAUCCGGCUCCUCACUGGGAGAUCCGGCGGGGAGG
rnacentral:pre_miRNA from 1 species